rnacentral:rRNA from 1 species
AUUGAACGCUGGCGGCGUGCUUAACACAUGCAAGUCGAUCGGUAACAGGUGUAGCAAUACAUGCUGACGAGAGGCGGACGGGUGAGUAAUGCUUGGGAAUCUGCCUAUUAGUGGGGGACAACCCGGGGAAACUCGGGCUAAUACCGCAUACGCUCUACGGAGGAAAGCCGGGGACCGCAAGGCCUGGCGCUAAUAGAUGAGCCCAAGUCGGAUUAGCUAGUUGGUAGGGUAACGGCCUACCAAGGCGACAAUCCGUAGCUGGUCUGAGAGGACGACCAGCCACACCGGAACUGAGACACGGUCCGGACUCCUACGGGAGGCAGCAGUGGGGAAUAUUGGACAAUGGGGGCAACCCUGAUCCAGCGACGCCGCGUGGGUGAAGAAGGCCUGCGGGUUGUAAAGCCCUUUCGGUGGGGAAGAAAAGUCUCGACCUAAUACGUCGGGACCUUGACGUAACCCACUAAAGAAGCACCGGCUAACUCUGUGCCAGCAGCCGCCGU